rnacentral:sRNA from 1 species
AGGGUGACAGGGACACAACAUGGCGGCGGGAUCCCUAAUGCUCUCCUUCGAGGGACCACCACGGAGAUCCUAGUGCGGGACCCCGCCUCAGGGAAGUGGAAAGCAGGGGGACAACCUUCCUGCCUCUUUCUUUUCCGUCCAGUGUCGGCAAGGGGUUGUCACCGGCUUCCGCAUCCAAGAUGAAGAACUAUAAAGCCAUUGGCAAAAUAGGAGAGGGAACGUUUUCUGAGGUUAUGAAGAUGCAAAGCCUGAGAGAUGGAAACUACUAUGCGUGUAAACAAAUGAAGCAGCGCUUUGAAAGGGAGAAGAUACCCAUUAUCAGAAAAAAAAAUUAUGCAUUAUAUGUACCAGUUAUGUAAGUCCCUGGAUCAUAUUCACAGGAUGUCCUGAAAUUAGCGGACUUUGGCUCCUGCCGGAGUGUCUAUUCCAAGCAGCCGUACACAGAAUACAUCUCCACCCGCUGGUACCGGGCCCCGGAGUGUCUCCUCACCGACGGGUUCUACACGUACAAGAUGGACCUGUGGAGCGCCGGCUGUGUGUUCUACGAGAUCGCCAG